UAUCAAUAAGCGGAGGAAAAGAAACCAACAGGGAUUGCCCUAGUAACGGCGAGUGAAGCGGCAACAGCUCAAAUUUGAAAUCUGGCUCUUUCAGAGUCCGAGUUGUAAUUUGCAGAGGGCGCUUUGGUGUUGGCAGCGGUCCAAGUUCCUUGGAACAGGACGUCACAGAGGGUGAGAAUCCCGUACGUGGUCGCUAGCCUUCGCCGUGUAAAGCCCCUUCGACGAGUCGAGUUGUUUGGGAAUGCAGCUCUAAAUGGGAGGUAAAUUUCUUCUAAAGCUAAAUACUGGCCAGAGACCGAUAGCGCACAAGUAGAGUGAUCGAAAGAUGAAAAGCACUUUGGAAAGAGAGUCAAAUAGCACGUGAAAUUGUUGAAAGGGAAGCGCUUGCAGCCAGACUUGCCUGUAGUUGCUUAUCCGGACUUUUGUCCGGUGCACUCUUCUGCGGGCAGGCCAGCAUCAGUUUGGGCGGUUGGAUAAAGGUCUCUGUCAUGUACCUCUCUUCGGGGAGAACUUAUAGGGGAGACGACAUGCAACCAGCCUGGACUGAGGUCCGCGCAUCUGCUAGGAUGCUGGCGUAAUGGCUGUAAGCGGCCCGUCUUGAAACACGGACCAAGGAGUCUAACAUCUAUGCGAGUGUUUGGGUGUCAAGCCCAGACGCGUAAUGAAAGUGAACGGAGGUGGGAACCCUUUGGGUGCACCAUCGACCGAUCCUGAUGUCUUCGGAUGGAUUUGAGUAAGAGCAUGGCUGUUGGGACCCGAAAGAUGGUGAACUAUGCUUGAAUAGGGUGAAGCCAGAGGAAACUCUGGUGGAGGCUCGCAGCGGUUCUGACGUGCAAAUCGAUCGUCAAAUUUGGGCAUAGGGGCGAAAGACUAAUCGAACUAUCUAGU
rnacentral:rRNA from 1 species